UCGUAUCUCUCUCAUAAAUCUCAAAAAGAACAAAACAGCUCCAACAUCACAACUCGUCUCUCCCUCAUCUCUAACACCUCUCUCUCGAUUUUCAUCUCAUAUUCCCGAAUCAGAAACAGCAAGCUCAUCUCCCUUUCUAUCUACUACCUUAAAAUUAAGGAAAACAUCCAUUGCUUGUCACUGCCCCCCCGUCGCCGGCGGCGCUGCUACUCACAACCGGAUUUUAGGGAUUUGGGAUUGGAAGAAAGCAAAGGCUACUAAAGCAUUAAAGAUCCAAGCUUUAUCAAGAAUGCUUCAUUCAACAAUUUAAGAAAUUCAAGGAUGGACUAAAUUCCCAUGGAUAUACUACCGUGAAUGAUAUGCAGUGGAAUUUAGGAAAAGAUAUAUACCUGUGUUGCAAAGAGUCGCAGGAAAACAAUUUGAAGGACUCUCGGCUCUCUUACUCUAGCUAUUUCUUCUCAACUGUGAUUUCAAGAAUUUAUAUUAUGGAAUCAAAAUAUGGAGGUUCUAUUCAUGUGAUUGAAAAGAAAUUACUUUGUACUCCCUCUGUCCCAAUAAAUAUCAAUAAAUAUGAAACGUUUGCUUUUC